GGGUGGCCGCUGAGUAUAAUGCGGUCGACGCACAGCGAAAGGUGCUUGCACCUUUCAAGUGAGUGGCGAACGGGUGAGUAACACGUGGACAACCUGCCUCAAGGCUGGGGAUAACAUUUGGAAACAGAUGCUAAUACCGAAUAAAACUUAGUGUCGCAUGACACAAAGUUAAAAGGCGCUUCGGCGUCACCUAGAGAUGGAUCCGCGGUGCAUUAGUUAGUUGGUGGGGUAAAGGCCUACCAAGACAAUGAUGCAUAGCCGAGUUGAGAGACUGAUCGGCCACAUUGGGACUGAGACACGGCCCAAACUCCUACGGGAGGCUGCAGUAGGGAAUCUUCCACAAUGGGCGAAAGCCUGAUGGAGCAACGCCGCGUGUGUGAUGAAGGCUUUCGGGUCGUAAAGCACUGUUGUAUGGGAAGAACAGCUAGAAUAGGAAAUGAUUUUAGUUUGACGGUACCAUACCAGAAAGGGACGGCUAAAUACGUGCCAGCAGCCGCGGUAAUACGUAUGUCCCGAGCGUUAUCCGGAUUUAUUGGGCGUAAAGCGAGCGCAGACGGUUUAUUAAGUCUGAUGUGAAAGCCCGGAGCUCAACUCCGGAAUGGCAUUGGAAACUGGUUAACUUGAGUGCAGUAGAGGUAAGUGGAACUCCAUGUGUAGCGGUGGAAUGCGUAGAUAUAUGGAAGAACACCAGUGGCGAAGGCGGCUUACUGGACUGCAACUGACGUUGAGGCUCGAAAGUGUGGGUAGCAAACAGGAUUAGAUACCCUGGUAGUCCACACCGUAAACGAUGAACACUAGGUGUUAGGAGGUUUCCGCCUCUUAGUGCCGAAGCUAACGCAUUAAGUGUUCCGCCUGGGGAGUACGACCGCAAGGUUGAAACUCAAAGGAAUUGACGGGGACCCGCACAAGCGGUGGAGCAUGUGGUUUAAUUCGAAGCAACGCGAAGAACCUUACCAGGUCUUGACAUCCUUUGAAGCUUUUAGAGAUAGAAGUGUUCUCUUCGGAGACAAAGUGACAGGUGGUGCAUGGUCGUCGUCAGCUCGUGUCGUGAGAUGUUGGGUUAAG
rnacentral:rRNA from 1 species